GUGAGCCACGCUGUCUCUCUCGAGUGAUGGCUACAGUGUGGUGUGCAGGUCCUGCACCACCUUCGUUGGAGUAACGAGUAAUUCAGGUCAGGAUCUAUCAAGCUACUCAGUGUCUGGCUGAAAAGGUAUGGCUGAUUCUGCAUGCCAAGAAUCCUGUACCCAGAUUAUCCUAAGAAUGAGUAAAGGAAGGUAAGUGGAUUUUGGUUGUGGAGUGGUGUGAUGGUGAACCCGGUCAAAACACUCCUGUGGGGUUGGUAUCUAAGCAAUAGGUUUGACUGAUUCUUGCAAUUGCUAUGAAUGUGGCAAGUACCAAUGACCUGGCUCAAACACAUCAAUUUUUCAUAUGUGCAGCAGUCUCUUUAACAAGCUGUUAUCUUAAAAGAGCCAAGUCAGUUUGUCCUGAUCACUUGAUUUGAAAACUAUAUGCAUUAAUGCAAUCUUAUUUGGGAACAUUGAUAGCUGAAAUUGAGUCCUCACAAGCCACAUGCCAGUCUGCCUGUUUCUCAGGUACAUUGCAGCAGCAGUGUUUCAGGAGUUCCAGCCUACCAGGAUUGGAAUGAUGAACUCAUAGUUCAACAGAGAACUAAUGAAGAUUUGAGCAUUUGUCUUUCGCUCCUAUCUGACAUUCCUGCUACUGAAACUUCAAAGCUACAUGUCAGUCUUUUCUGCUCUGAAUUAAUUUUUUGUUUUAGAUUUGCUUCUAGAUGUGAACAGUCUUUGGAUGUAUGACUCUUCAAAUGUUCAGAUAUUUGAUCAUUAUUAUGCAAGGACAACUGAUGGAAGAUUCUUGACUCCAGAUGAAGCUUGGCUUUGGACCAAACUUGUACACCAGGGGCAAGAGCUGUUAUGGCAUUAACCAGACAGCAUGGAAACAGACCCUCCAGUCUCAGUUCAGUCCAUGCUGACCAUGUGCCCAAACUAAAUUAGUUCCCACCUGCUUGAAUCUCAAGCUGUAGGAUCUGGGAUCAUUGCAGCACCAGUGAGGGAGCUGCACCAAUUGGAGGUUCAGAUGAUGUGGUGAGAUGAAAUUUUAUGGUAUCAAGUGGCCUUAAAUGGCUUUUGCAGAAAGGAUCUAAAAGGAAAGGCUUCUGAGGAACUUGAGUGGGAUGUUACAAUCUGGACAGGUGAAAGGAUGCCAAUCAAGAUUGGACUAAUUCCUGUAAUGUAACAAACAGCAAAUAUAAAUAAAGUGGAAAUGAAACCAAA